rnacentral:misc_RNA from 1 species
AUAAAGAUAAGAAAGAGAGAGAAAAUAAAGGGGCAAAAUGAUAAUUUUAUUUUUAAAAGAGAAUGGCAAAAGGAUAAUUUUAUCGUUUUUGACAUGAAAACCUGUUAUUGCACGUUAGAGGGAUUUUUGUAAAAUGAAACUAAAGUUAAGAAAUUUUAUAGUAACAAAUUGAAGAUGAGAGACAAAAGUGAAACAACCCUCAAAGUGAAGGGACAAUCAAUAAAAAUUACCCCUUUUCGUUCCUAGACUUUCAUGUUUGAAAUUAUUUGGAUUUCACUCUCUAUUAGGUUAUAAAUAAAUGAAGAUAACCCUAAAUCUUAUCAAUGAACAUGAAAUUAAAAUGUGAGAAGAUGUAGAUCAUUUCUUAGACUUGUUUAAUAAUUUAUAUUCUCUUCAGAAAAAAAAA